CGCCCAGACUCCUACGGGAGGCAGCAGUGGGGAAUAUUGCACAAUGGGGGAAACCCUGAUGCAGCGACGCCGCGUGAGUGAAGAAGUAAUUCGUUAUGUAAAGCUCUAUCAGCAGGGAAGAAAAUGACGGUACCUGAGUAAGAAGCCCCGGCUAACUACGUGCCAGCAGCCGCGGUAAUACGUAGGGGGCAAGCGUUAUCCGGAUUUACUGGGUGUAAAGGGGGCGCAGACGGCAAUGCAAGCCAGGAGUGAAAGCCCGGGGCCCAACCCCGGGACUGCUCUUGGAACUGCAUGGCUGGAGUACAGGAGGGGCAGGCGGAAUUCCUAGUGUAGCGGUGAAAUGCGUAGAUAUUAGGAGGAACACCGGUGGCGAAGGCGGCCUGCUGGACUGUGACUGACGUUGAGGCCCGAAGGCGUGAGGAGCAAACAGGAUUAGAUACCCUCGUAC
rnacentral:rRNA from 1 species